GGACUAUUGGUCAAUGGGCGAGAGCCUGAACCAGCCAAGUAGCGUGCAGGAUGACGGCCCUAUGGGUUGUAAACUGCUUUUAUGCGGGAAUAAAACGAGGGACGUGUCCUUCUUUGCAGGUACCGCAUGAAUAAGGACCGGCUAAUUCCGUGCCAGCAGCCGCGGUAAUACGGAAGGUCCGGGCGUUAUCCGGAUUUAUUGGGUUUAAAGGGAGCGCAGGCGGCACUUCAAGCGUGACGUUAAAUUUCGGGGCUCACCCCCGUUUUGCGUCGCGAACUGUUGUGCUUGAGUAGGCGGCAGGGAGGCGGAAUUCGCGGUGUAGCGGUGAAAUGCUUAGAUAUCGCGAGGAACUCCGAUAGCGCAGGCAGCCUCCCGUUGCUUUACUGACGCUCAUGCUCGAAGGUGCGGGUAUCGAACA
rnacentral:rRNA from 1 species